ensembl:lncRNA
CCCACAGUAGAGAUUUUGGUCCAUAGUAGUCUGGCUUCAAAACAGUGUGCCACGGCUGGGGAUUUAGCUCAGUGGUUUGACCACCUGCCUCACAAAUGCAAAGUCCCGAGUUCAAUCCCCAGUACUAAGAAGAAGAAGAAGAAGAGGAGGAGGAGGAGGAGGAGGAGGAGGAGGAGGAGGAGGAGGAGCAGGAAACAAAACAGUGUGGCAUGUCAGAGGGGCAUCAGAGGAGGAACAGUCCGUGGCAGGGUAGGCAGGAAGCAGCAAGCAGUCUUCCUUCUGUCCGUUUUAUCCCAUCCAGGCUACAAGCCUUUUGGGUGGUGCCACCCACAUCCAGGAUGGGGCUUCCAUUAUCCACACCCAGAACUAUGCUAAACCAAUCAGUAGACUAAUUUAGUGCCACACACCUUUAAUCCAGUAUCACACACCCAGGAUCCAGCCAGGUUUUAAAAGCCCCACCUAAGAGUGCGUAAGGCUUGGAGGGGCAUCUAGAUACAACUCAUAGCAAUCCUCUUACAUUGUCUCAAGUUUGGAGUUCUGUGUGACAGAGACAUUAACUUCUGUCCUUUUACUGUAAUCAAUUUUUUUUGUUGUUUUAUUUGGAGAUACAGCCUCACUAUGUAGCCCAGGCUGGACUUGAACUCAUGGUGAUCCUCCUGCCUCAGCCUCUUGAGUGCUGGGAUUACAGAUGUACACCACCAUGACAGCUCUAUAAUCAUUAUUAAAGCAGCCAAAGCAGCACCCUAGGUACUGGAGUGGCAGGGCUUCACUUGGCCAGCUGUAGGGAACAGGGAAAGGGGACAUUACUAGAACCUCUGCAGUAAGUCCUAGUCUCCUGCGAGCCACCGCAGCACAAGGUGAAUUACAGGAAAGGUAGAAAAAUGAGACUGAGAAGAAGCUGAGCUUUGGGCCUGAUCAGUGCUGCUCUGGGCGGCAAAGACGAAAGCCCCCAGCUUGCAGCACCUUUUAUUCAGUACUCAGUACAUCAGGAGAAACACAUGUAACAAAUGACUGCAGGUGACGGAAAUCUAAGAACAAUGAGGAACUGAGUAGAUGAAGAUUUUGUUCCUCCCAGGAUGUCUUCAGCUGGUGUAAUCUUGUCCUGGAGCAUCACAGCAUCACCGGAUCACUGAGGUCUCAGUUGUGACCAGAGGCCAAAAUGGAAUUAUGUCUCAAAAUGCCAUAGCUGGCCUGUAGGCAGGAGAACUAGGAUUUUCCCUUAAAAUUAUAGCAUUGUCGGUAGCAUCGCUCCCAACAGCCGGCAGUUCUCCAGGACAGUCCCUAUGAGGGGACAUCCAUAGCGCCCUGGAGAUGGGUGCAUGGGAGGGGGCUGCAGACCAAGGCCCUGUCCUCUCGGGCAUAAUCCCCCGGCGCUGUCUGGGGGCGCAUGGGCUGGGCCGGGAGGGUCACCUCAGAGCCAACCUGGGACAGGUCGCGCCCGGUCUUCACCGAGGCCUCGGCUCUGCUGUCAUCCUGUUUCAGCAAUCCUCGGCCCCGCACUCAUCCAGUGGGGAGAGGACUCAGGACGCGGUAGGAGGGUCAGUGAAGCCACAUUUCUGUCUUUCAGGUCGGCUGGGGCGUGUCCUCCUACCACCUGCCACUUCUGUGACUCACUGUGGGCCGGGCUCUCCGCUUUCAACACCAAGUCACGAUGGCGGGCAGCGGGGAGGGGCAGCUCGGCGGCCUAGCGGUACCGGGCAGUGGCCGUCGGGAGGUGGAGCCGGGCGCUGCCUAGACGCCCCCGGAGGGGCCCCGGGGUGGGGGUGCCCGGGGCUGGGCCCGGUCACUCCUCUCUCAGAUGGGGAGACUCCAGGAAUAGCUCCCGAUAACCGCAGGAGCCCUGAGCUCCGCCAUUCUUUCUCUUACGGCUUCUCUUGACUCGGCGUCCGCACUGGCAAAGGGUCGGUAACGGCAUCCUCUUCUCCUGCGUCACAAGCUUGUGGUGAAUUGCAGAAAAAGGGCUUCGGGUGGUGAAAGCGGGGCCAGUGGAGGUGGAGACUCUAGCGCUAGGGGAACUUCCGCCUCAGGAAGAGCCUCGCUGGCAAAAAGACCCAGGCUAUCAGCCCCCAGCCAAAAAACAAAGAAAACCAAACAGAGCAAACUGCACUACACAGAGGAGAGCGAAGACGUGGAUGUGUCCGUCUACAACUGAGGAAGGAAAGCAGGAAGGUCGGAGGUCGGAGGUCAACGCAGAAAAGGUAGC